AAUAUUGAAAAAGGAAUUAAAAAUAGAGAUGUGUAUGGAAAAGAAGAGAAAAGAAAUAGAAAUUUUAAAUUUUAAAUUGAAUUAUGACAUAAUCAUGAUGCAAGCAUGACACAAUUAAAAUUAAAAUUUUAAUUAUUCAAAUUUUGGGGAUAAUUAUCUUAUUAAAGGAGACAAAAUUUGUUAAAAAAAUAAAACAAAAAUAUCACCUUCUUCUCCCAAAACCAG
rnacentral:misc_RNA from 1 species